GAACGCACAUUGCGCCCCUUGGUAUUCCGAGGGGCAUGCCUGUUCGAGCGUCAUUAUAACCCCUCAAGCUCAGCUUGGUGUUGGGGCCUGCCGCACGGGCAGCCCUUAAAAUCAGUGGCGGUGCCAUCUGGCUCUAAGCGUAGUAAUUCUUCUCGCUAUAGAGUCACGGUGGAUGCUUGCCAUUAACCCCCAAUUUUCAAUGGUUGACCUCGGAUCAGGUAGGGAUACCCGCUGAACUUAAG
rnacentral:misc_RNA from 1 species